GCAGCCUCGGGGCCAGCACUUUAGGUCCUCGGCACCAAGCUAUAUUUUGCUCAAUAAAGUACCUCUUGUGUGUUGCAUUACUCGUGUGUGUGUGUGUGUGUGUGUGUGUGUGUGUGUGUGUGUGUGUGUGUGUGUCCUCCAUGGAUUCUGAGCCAGAAUCGGACAUUAUACCUUCAACCCCAAAGGCAGGAGUCCUAGACACGGAACAGAAGAGCUGCCUUAACACUGCUGCUGCUGCUGCUGCUCUUUGUGCUACAGCUGACCGCUCUGUGGCAUCACAUUCUGAGGGAGAGCCAAGAACACAAGGUACAAGUGGAGCCCAAGAGUGACCAGGCUACCCUAUAGGUUCCAGCCAUCUCUCUAUCUAGGCAGGCACUGAUGCCAGCACACAGUCAGCCAGCCAGCCAGCCAGCCAGUCAGCCAGCGAGCAGCGUCUAGUGUAUUCUCUACCUGCUUCACUCCUUUCACAGACCUAGCCAGGACAUGGUGAGGACCAAGGAGAAUAGUGAACGUGCCGGUAAAAGGGACAGCUGUCUCAUCCCUGCAAGGACAAGGUCCACCCUAUGUUGCCAGGAACGACACUUCCCCCCUUUUGAGAUCCUUGGUCGCCACCACUCCAAAGGAGACACUUCCCUUACAAAGAACGCUCAAAAGGUGUGUAAGCCAGAGGACGCCCACCAAAGGCUUUUCCACGACAGACGUGUUGGUGAUCUGCCUGGCAGGAGAGCAGGAUGAACACACUUUAGAGACUCCGGUAGUUAUACCAGGGGCCAGCCAGACUCUCUUAACAGAGUCCAUGAUGCCCGGGGUACCAAAGUGGCCAUUAUGAUGAACAGAUUGGUAAAUUUGGUGAUGGAAACUUCUAGGGAGCAGGGGUUUUCCUUCAGAUGACACCCACACUCCAUGUAUUUGCUUUGCUUUGAAUUUUCCUCUCCAUUCCUCCACUUCCUUUUCAUUAUAGGAAAGUGAUCAAUUUAAGUCAUCAGUGGUUGUUAAUGUUCAAAGUAAUUCAGGCCCUCCUAUGGCUGCUAGCUUGGCAGCAGCAUCUGCUCAGUCAUGUCCCCUGGAGACAGGGUCAGAGCCAACUUUAUGGGCAGAGCAGUGAACUAGAGCGAGGGCUUCAGGCAGUUGGAGAGCAGAAAGAACUUCAUUAAUCAUUUCUGCAUCAGCUAUGGAAGGAGAAUACUGAGAGCACAGGGUGGAAGGCAGGUGUGUGACUGCUCUAAGGCAAAGUGGGCCACUCACGGCCAAGGUCCACUCAUAUUUACGCCUAAGACAUCAGGAUGUGUACGUGGCUUGGGGUCCAAGAGGAGACUUGCACAUAGCUAUAAAAGCUUAUUUCAAAACCAUUUAAAUAAAACCCUCCUCGGAUGCA
rnacentral:lncRNA from 1 species